UACGGAGGGUGCAAGCGUUAUCCGGAUUCACUGGGUUUAAAGGGUGCGUAGGUGGCGCCGUAAGUCAGGUGUGAAAUUUCGGAGCUUAACUCCGAAACUGCAUUUGAUACUGCGGUGCUUGAGGACUGGAGAGGAGACUGGAAUUUACGGUGUAGCAGUGAAAUGUGUAGAGAUCGUAAGGAAGACCAGUGGCGAAGGCGGGUCUCUGGACAGUUCCUGACACUGAGGCACGAAGGCCAGGGGAGCAAACGGG
rnacentral:rRNA from 1 species